UGAGCAGCAUGGCCUUGUCCCGGGGCCUGCACCUCAUCACCAGCAUUGGGGGUGACAAAGGCCCCUGAGCUCUGCGGGUGUGGACCUCAGGGAGGCCAAGCUCCUCCAGGCCACAGGUGCGCCCCUGCAGACGCCCCCUUGGGAUGGUGUCCACACCGUGGCUCUGCCGGAACAGCCUCCCACAUCCCCAGUCUCUAAGUGUGGACGGACAUGGGGCCUUUGGACACCAAGUGGCCGGGCCACCACUUAUCAGCAGAGGCAGCCCCCAGCCCACACAGGAACCCUUUCUUUGAGGGUCCAGAGGCCCGGGGCCUGAGUGUCUCACUCACAAACAGCCCUCCUCUGCCCACUGUCCCUCAGAAGCAAACAUAAGUGCAUCCCCCCGCCCCCUCCUCUCUCUGCAGAGUGGGCCCCAGAGCUCCUGUGAGCUCAGCCAGGUGGGGCCGUCCGUGUCAGUGGGGUUUGGGGAGACGGGUGCGAAUGGACAUCGAGGGACAGAGGAGACACAGGGCAGGGGCCCCGCCCACCCUGAUGUCUGCAGGGGCUCUAAGCCCUCACCUCACCCCUGCUGGCCUGGAGGGAGGGG
rnacentral:lncRNA from 1 species